rnacentral:rRNA from 1 species
AUUGAACGCUGGCGGAAGGCCUAACACAUGCAAGUCGAGAGGAGCGGCGGACGGGGGAGUAAUGCAUAGGAAUCUGCCUGGUAGUGGGGGAUAAGGUCCGGAAACGGGCGCUAAUACCGCAUACUAGCAGAUGAGCCUAGGUCGGGUUAGCUAGUUGGUGGGGUAAAGGCCUACCAAGGCGACGAUCCGUAACUGGUCUGAAAGGGUGAUCAGUCACACUGGAACUGAGACACGGUCCAGACUCCUACGGGAGGCAGCAGUGGGUAAUAUUGGACAAUGGGCGAAAGCCUGAUCCAGCCAUGCCGCGGGUGUGAAGAAGGUCUUCGGAUUGUAAAGCACUUUAAGUUGGGAGGCGUUACCAACAGAAUAAGCACCGGCUAACUUCGUGCCAGCAGCCGCGGUAAUAC